rnacentral:rRNA from 1 species
CCUACGGGAGGCUGCAGUGGGGAAUAUUGGACAAUGGGGGGAACCCUGAUCCAGCCAUGCCGCGUGUGUGAAGAAGGCCCUCGGGUUGUAAAGCACUUUCAGUGAGGAAGAACGCCUGGUGGUUAAUACCCAUCAGGAAAGACAUCACUCACAGAAGAAGCACCGGCUAACUCCGUGCCAGCAGCCGCGGUAAUACGGAGGGUGCGAGCGUUAAUCGGAAUUACUGGGCGUAAAGCGCGCGUAGGUGGCUUGAUAAGCCGGUUGUGAAAGCCCCGGGCUCAACCUGGGAACGGCAUCCGGAACUGUCAAGCUAGAGUGCAGGAGAGGAAGGUAGAAUUCCCGGUGUAGCGGUGAAAUGCGUAGAGAUCGGGAGGAAUACCAGAGGCGAAGGCGGCCUUCUGGACUUACACUGACACUGAGGUGCGAAAGCGUGGGUAGCAAACAGGAUUAGAUACCCCAGUAGUC